rnacentral:rRNA from 1 species
UGGGGAAUUUUGGACAAUGGGCGAAAGCCUGAUCCAACAAUGCCGCGUGUGUGAAGAAGGCCUUCGGGUUGUAAAGCACUUUUGUCCGGAAAGAAAUCCUUGGCUCUAAUACAGUCGGGGGAUGACGGUACCGGAAGAAUAAGCACCGGCUAACUACGUGCCAGCAGCCGCGGUAAUACGUAGGGUGCAAGCGUUAAUCGGAAUUACUGGGCGUAAAGCGUGCGCAGGCGGUUUGCUAAGACCGAUGUGAAAUCCCCGGGCUCAACCUGGGAACUGCAUUGGUGACUGGCAGGCUAGAGUAUGGCAGAGGGGGGUAGAAUUCCACGUGUAGCAGUGAAAUGCGUAGAGAUGUGGAGGAAUACCGAUGGCGAAGGCAGCCCCCUGGGCCAAUACUGACGCUCAUGCACGAAAGCGUGGGGAGCAAACAGGAUUAGAUACCCUGGUAGUCCACGCCCUAAACGAUGUCAACUAGUUGUUGGGGAUUCAUUUCCUUAGUAACGUAGCUAACGCGUGAAGUUGACCGCCU